rnacentral:rRNA from 1 species
UACGAAGGGGGCUAGCGUUGCUCGGAAUCACUGGGCGUAAAGCGCACGUAGGCGGGUCUUUAAGUCAGGGGUGAAAUCCUGGAGCUCAACUCCAGAACUGCCUUUGAUACUGAGGAUCUCGAGUCCGGGAGAGGUGAGUGGAACUCCGAGUGUAGAGGUGAAAUUCGUAGAUAUUCGGAAGAACACCAGUGGCGAAGGCGGCUCACUGGCCCGGUACUGACGCUGAGGUGCGAAAGCGUGGGGGGCAAACAGG